rnacentral:rRNA from 1 species
AUGAUGAGAUAUCACCGAGUUCGCCGGCGGAAGAAGAACAUCUCUCGAGCCGUCCAAUGUUUCCUGCGGCGGCUACACCAGAGAUCACCGAGUUCGCCGGCGGAAGAAGAACAUCUCUUGAGCCGUCCAAUGUUUCCUGCGGCGGCUACACCAGAGACACAGUUCUUAUCAAGUGGGUCUGAAGGAGUUGGGCAGUGGGUGGUUCCCAUCACACUCUGCUGUUGUUCAUACUUGGUUCAGCGAAAGUUCUUUUUCCGUGGAAAACCGGAGGAUUUCAGUUUGUUAGUGCUCGUAGAAUGUCAAAAGAAAGAUGGCAUAAGGAGGUUUAACCAAGAUGUCCUUUUGUUGGUUUUCCUGUGUAAUUAG